rnacentral:lncRNA from 1 species
UGCGAUCUCGAAAUAUAUACAAACAUGUUUGACGGUUGGAUCAUUGAAACUAGUUUCGUAGAAUGAGUAUCCCAUUAAAACAAUAGAUUCACUAAUACUUAAGAGUUUAUUCAUACUUUUAUUAAGUAUAACAUAAGAUUUUGUGGUAUCCACUAGUGUAAAUAUUUUAAAUUGAAGAUCGAAUUCAAUCAUUGUAUUCAUAUAAGGUCAAGGAGUGUAGUUGUAAAAAAUCAUCAAAAUCGGAGUUAAAUUAACCGUUAAAUCGUGAUUUUUCGUUUAUAACCGUCGAAAAGUUUUGUCCCGUUACUUGCUCUCUGAAUGUUUGGUUUUUGCAAUUUUUGGCGUAUGCGAUCUCGAAAUAUAUAAAAAUAUGUUUGACGGUUGGAUCAUUGAAACUAGUUUCAUAGAAUGAGUAUCCCAUCAAAACAAUAGAUUCACUAAUACUUAAGAGUUUAUUCAUACUUUUAUUAAGUAUAACAUAAGAUUUUGUGGUAUCCACUAGUGUAAAUAUUUUAAAUUGAAGAUUGAAUUCAAUCAUUGUAUUCAUAUAGGGUCAAGGAGUGUAGUUGUAAAAAAUCAUCAAAAUCGGAGUUAAAAUGACCGUUAAAUCGUGAUUUUCGUUUAUAACCGUCGAAAAGUUUUAUCCCGUUACUUGAUCUCUGAAUGUUUGUUUUUUGCAAUUUUUGGCGUAUGCGAUCUCGAAGUAUAUAUAAACAUGUUUGACGGUUGGAUCAUUGAAACUAGUUUCGUAGAAUGAGUAUCCCAUCAAAACAAUAGAUUCACUAAUACUUAAUAGUUUAUUCAUACUUUUAUUAAGUAUAAUAUAAGAUUUUGUGGUAUCCAGUAGUGUAAAUAUUUUAAAUUGAAGAUCGAAUUCAAUCAUUGUAUUCAUAUAAGGUUAAGGAGUGUAGCUGCAAAAAAUCAUCAAAAUCAGAGUUAAAAUGACCGUUAAAUCGUGAUUUUUCUUUUUAUAACCGUCGAAAAGUUUUGUCCCGUUAAUUGAUCUCUGAAUGUUUGUUUUUUGUAAUUUUUGACAUAUGCGAUCUCGAAGUAUAUACAAACAUGUUUGACGGUUGGAUCUUUGAAACUAGUUUCGUAGAAUGAGUAUCCCAUCAAAACAAUAGAUUCACUAAUACUAAAUAGUUUAUUCAUACUUUUAUUAAGUAUAACAUAAGAUUUUGUGGUAUCCACUAGUGUAAAUAUUUUAAAUUGAAGAUCGAAUUCAUUACUUGUAUUCAUAUAGGGUCAAGGAGUGUAGUUGUAAAAAAUUAUCAAAAUCGGAGUUAAAAUAACCGUUAAAUCAUGAUUUUUCGUUUAUAACCGUAAAAAACUUUUGUCCCAUUAAUUGAUCUAUGAAUGUUUGUUUUUUGCAAUUUUUGGUGUAUGUGAUCUCGAAGUAUAUACAAACAUGUUUGACGGUUUGAUCAUUGAAAAUAGUUUUGUAGAAUGAGUAUCCUAUCAAAACAAUAGAUUCACUAAUACUUAAGAGUUUAUUCAUACUUUUAUUAAGUAUAACAUAAGAUUUUGUGGUAUCCACUAGUGUAAAUAUUUUAAAUUGAAGAUCGAAUUCAAUCAUUGUAUUCAUAUAGGGUCAAGGAGUGUGGUUCUAAAAAAUCAUCAAAAUCGGAGUUACAAUGACCGUUAAAUCGUGAUUUUUCGUUUAUAACCGUCGAAAAGUUUUGUCCCGUUACUUGCUCUCUGAAUGUUUUUUUUUUGCAAUUUUUGGCGUAUGCGAUCUCGAAGUAUAUACAAACAUGUUUGACGGUUGGAUCGUUGAAAUUAGUUUCGUAUAAUUCGUAUCCCAUGAAGUUCUAUGGUGUGUGUGUGUGUAUAUAUAUUUAUUUAUUAAGUAGAU